rnacentral:lncRNA from 1 species
UCCUCACUCUCUAGUCUCGCACUUCCGGCCAUGGCGAGCUUUGAAGUGCAAGAGCGCCAAGUCUCAAUGAUCUCUCCCGAGAAGAAACUGGAAGAUGCCCACUACUCCAAGCUUCCAUUCACGACUUUCGACAUAAUGCAAAAGAGAAGCAGCAUGCCUUACCUCCAGCGCGUUUGCUUCUUCGAAUCCAAAGGCGGUAGCAGUAGCAGUAACGAGAGCUUGAUUGAGAGGAUGAAGGCGAGCUUGGCCAAAGUCCUGGUAGAUUUCUAUCCCUUAGCUGGAAGGCUAGAGAUAAAAAACGAGGGAGACAGACCUGUGAUCUCUUGCAGCGGAGCCGGCGUUGAGUUCUGCGUCGCUGAUGCAAACGUCUCCCUGGAGGAGCUCGAUUACUCCCAGCCCCGGCCGUGGUUCUCCAAGCUGAUCAAAAGAGGAAACUAUGAGUUUAGUGGCUUGUCGACCAACAUACCUUUCAUCACUAUCCAGGUAAAGAUCCCGCAAAAAGACUUUUUUCUCGCGUUUGAUCUCGUGAAGAACAGGUGACCGAGUUUCGCUGCGGAGGCGUGUGUGUUGCUUGGUCGUAUGAUCAUCUCGUCAUGGACGGCAGCUCGCAGUGGCAAUUCAUGUGUUCCUGGUCCGAGAUCUGUCGAGGCCUUCCCAUCUCCAGGCCUCCAACUCACGACCGGUUUUUCGAGCAGCAGCACGAGCAGUUCUCCAGCAUAACCCCGACCAGUUCCCUUUCAUGUGUCUUCGAGGACGUUUCCACUGGCAUGGAGGCCAAGAUCUUCGAGUUCGAUGACGAGACUAUCGAGAGGCUUAAGUUCUUGGCGUCGGGUCGUUUCUCAGCGUUCGAGGUCGUGGCGUCACAGGUCUGGAUAGCACUUUGCAAGGCUCGCGAUCUUCCAGCGUCUCAGAAAACCAGCCAUCAGCUUCCACUCAACUGUAGAAGCCGGCUGAGCACUCCUCUCCCGGCGGGCUACUUUGGAAACUGUGUGCUCUGUGCGUUGGCCGAGUCCACAGCCGGGGAACUU